rnacentral:rRNA from 1 species
AGGGAAUCUUCCGCAAUGGACGAAAGUCUGACGGAGCAACGCCGUGUGAGUGAAGAAGGUCUUCGGAUCGUAAAACUCUGUUGUUAGGGAAGAACAAGUAUCGUUCGAAUAGGGCGGUACCUUGACGGUACCUAACCAGAAAGCCACGGCUAACUACGUGCCAGCAGCCGCGGUAAUACGUAGGUGGCAAGCGUUGUCCGGAAUUAUUGGGCGUAAAGCGCGCGCAGGCGGUUUCUUAAGUCUGAUGUGAAAGCCCCCGGCUCAACCGGGGAGGGUCAUUGGAAACUGGGGAACUUGAGUGCAGAAGAGGAGAGUGGAAUUCCACGUGUAGCGGUGAAAUGCGUAGAGAUGUGGAGGAACACCAGUGGCGAAGGCGACUCUCUGGGCUGUAACUGACGCUGAGGCGCGAAAGCGUGGGGAGCAAAC